AGAGAUUGAACUCAGGACCUUACGCUUGCGACACAGGCGGUGGCACCACUGAGCUAAAUCCUCGGCCCUUCUGAUUUCUGAUUUUAGAUUGUUCACCACCAUGGCAUUCCUUAACCACAAUGUACGAGGUCUUUUCCUGUUGCUAGUAACACAAUACCAGAAUAGGUAAGGAACAAGAAAAACAUGUUUAUUUUGGCUCACGGUUUGGAAGAGGGAGGUUGAGGGGCCCCAUCUGGUGCUGGGCUUCAUGCUGGGAGGAGAGUAGAGCCAAGCGAGCAUGUGUGCGUCCUGCCCGCCUCUCCUUCCCAGGGUCCCUGAGGUCCUACCCCUCCCGAGCUCACCCAACCUGCCCAUCUCCCUCUCCCAAGGGGGCCAAUUUUAACCUCACAGUGGGGACUCAAUUUCCAUGUGCAUUUCAGGGGAGCAAAGCAUAUUCAAACCAGGGCAAGUGUUUUGUUUCCGUCAAUGCAUUUUACAGCCAGAUGUCUGAGCUUUCAGGCUUUCACAUAAGGACAAGCGAGGAGCCCAACUGGAAGAAGACGGAAGACAGAAAGACUGCACAGGCAGCUCACCCUGGAGAGCUGGGCUCUCUCUUCCCCUACACUUCGCAUCAUAAAGUGAAAUAAAGGCUUAGUUGCCUGGCCUGGUAGGGCAGGCCUGUGCUCCCAGCAUUCCGCCUGAAGCAGGAGGAGCCUCCUUCCAGAGUGCUUGGAUCACAGGUGUGCACCACCACCCCUGGCCUCAGAGCUGUUCUGCAACCAGAGAGGGGCUCGUGACUCCGGCCCAGCUCCCCUCAUGGCUCUGGGUGGACAACACAGACAGGCCUAGGGUGGGGACCGCCACCCCUGGCUAGCAAUUCCAGGGUGGUCUCCAGGGAGCCGGCGGCUCACAGGCCUGGGAGCAGAGUCUUCCUGGAGCCCAGUCCCCAGGGUACGUGGGAAAUGGCAGGGUGUGCAGCUUUGAUGCUCAUUUCUUCUUAGAAAACCACCAUGUCAGGCCGGGGGAGCCCAACCAUGCGUCACGGGGACACAGGGCUCAGAGAGGGCAGAGCAGCCAGAUGCCCCGAUAAUCUGGUUAGAGCUGAGGUGGCCUGGCCUGGGGAGGAAGGAGGCUGCAGGGAGAGCUCUUCCCGCAAGACCCAGGGGAACCAGCCAGUCACAUCCAGCCUGCAGGAGGGAUUGCCCUUCUGGUCUGCAGAGGAAGAAGCUAAAGUCUGAAUGGCCCACAAGUCUUGGCCUGGCUGGCACCGCCCCCUUUCCCAUGGAGUCCCACACCCAGAGCCCCCUGUUGGACCCCCUUCUGAUCCCUUACCAGGCUCCCCUGCUAGGCUGAGUCACUUCCUGGGGACCUGCUGCAGCUGACCAGAAGUGCUCUGGGCACAGACUGGCACUGGCUCAGGGUCUCCUUCUGUACCCCAGGAUGGCCUUGAACUCAAGGCUAUCCUCCUGCCUCAGCAUCCAGAAUGCAGAGAUUGCAGAUGCGUGCCACCACGCCCGCGUGCCAGAGAAGUGGUCUCUAGCCUGAGGCGAUCAGCAGCCCCUACAGAGAACAAGAGCCACCCAGAGUGGGGGCAUCAGAGCCCCGAGACUUGGCUAGAACCUUCCCUGGACAGAAUCUUCGUUCUGUGUGGGGAGGGAGGUUGAGACAACAGGCACUAAGGUAGGCACACGGAGGAGCACCCGGGCCCUGCUAUUCAGGAACAAAAGGACAUGCAGCACAAACUUGGGCCCUCAGUGCCCUUAGUAUUGUACAUAGGUAAGUUAAUUAGUUAUCUUGUAGGCAGUUAGACAGGAGCCACCCUCACGGAGCCAACACAGCGAGGAGCCAACAUGGAGGACAACUGAGGCACAUUAACUGGUUAGCAUUAUAAAGAGAAGAGAAGUGGGCCGGGGAUUUAGCUCAGUGGUUCUGCCUCCUGCCCCGCAAGUGCAAGGAUCAGACUUUGAUCCCCGGUACCAAAAAAAAAAAAAAAAAAAAAAAAAAAAAAAAAAAAGAAGAAGAGCUCUACUUCCCCUAGAGAUAGCAGUGAUUGAUAUUCCAAAUGGGAAACUUCUCGUAUGUGACUUGUUUUCCCAUUUGAUCCCCAUUUAAUCAGUAUUACCUGGGUCACUGUACUGAAGGACCCUUGUUAGCAAGACAGACUCCAUAUUGCUGCUUGACCCACCUGCCUACCCUUUAGAUGAACUCAGAAGGAGGAAACUUAAAAACCUCCUCCCCUUGGAGAGUCUCUUUAGAAAUAACAGUUAAUCAACUAUUGUUUUAUAAAUGUUCUAACAGCAGGACGUUCUGCUUCUGUACCUUUUGAUUGCUUUACUAGUUCUAUCCCUUAGGGGGCCCUAGAAACUGUAGGCCUCAAAGGUGUAUAAAAUAUGUUAAUCUUCCCCCAGUUGGGCUGAAGUCCGCUGCUCGGUCCCGGCUGGUAAUAAACUCCUGUGUGGAUUUAA
rnacentral:lncRNA from 1 species